rnacentral:rRNA from 1 species
UGGGACUGAGACACGGCCCAGACUCCUACGGGAGGCAGCAGUGGGGAAUAUUGCGCAGUGGGGGAAACCCUGACGCCGCGACGCCGCGUGAGCGAUGAAGGCUUUCGGGGUGUAAAGCUCUUUCGUCAGGGAAGAAACUGACGGUACCUGGAGAAGCAGCUGCGGCUAACUACGUGCCGGCAGCCGCGGUGAGACGUAGGGGGC